AUGCUCGCCAAGUUCCGGCCUCUCAUGGCGGCGGCACCGACGACGAAGUCCGCCCCGGCCGUGGCGUUCUCCACGGCGGCGGAGCGGGACGGCUACGCGCAGUACAACCACACCGACGCGUGCCAGCACCUCCGGUGGACUGCCAGGGAGAGCUACGAGUACAUGCACGCGCGGCCGUGGAGCAGGGUGGUCGACUUCUACGCCGAGCUCGUGCGCACCGGCGCCGGCGCGGCGGGGCUCGCCGAGCUGUUUCGGAAAGACGAGAUUUUCCUUCCGCAGACAGAUCAUCUUCGUGACACGAAUGGUGAGGAGCCUUUAGCAUCAUCUGAAAAACAAAUGUCUGUUAAAUCCUCCAAAGCCCGAGGAGGCAGGUGGGGAAGAGCAAACUUUAAGAUUGUUCUUUCAUAUCAUGGGGGGUCGUUUGAUGGUUGGCAGAAGCAGCCUGGCCUCAACACUGUUCAAGGGUUGGUGGAAAAACAUCUUGGACAAUUUGUCGACGAGAGAAAAGCUAAACAACUUCAAGAAAGAUCUUUGCCGGUAGAAGGCUGUGCCACUGUUGCUGGGCGCACUGACAAAGGGGUGACUGCUCUUCAGCAAGUCUGCUCAUUUUAUACGUGGAGGAAGGAUGUACAGCCUGGCGAUCUAAAAGACACAAUAAAUGAGGCUGCACCAGAUAAAAUCAAAUCUUUGGUCGUGUCAGAGGUCUCACGUGAAUUUCAUCCUAAUUUUUCAGCCAAAUGGAGGACAUACCUGUAUAUAUUUCCUCUUGAUGGGGAUGCUAAAUCAAUAUCAGAGGAUGAGCAAUCCUCUAUGAUACUAGAGAAUCCUGAAUACAAAGCACCUCGGAGCUUUGAUGUGGCCAAGGUUGACAAAAUCAUUAGGCAACUGGAAGGAAAAAUGCUAUCUUACAAAAUAUUUGCACGUGACACACAAGCUUCACGUAGCGAUGGCCCAGCUACCGAGUGUUUUAUGUUCCAUUCUCGAGCUGCAGUGACCAAACUGUAUUCUGCUGAUGAGAAUUGCAAAGAAGGCACGACGGUCAUGUGUGUUGAGCUAGUUGCGAACAGAUUCCUACGCAAGAUGGUUAGGGUUCUUGUUGCGACCAGCAUCAGAGAGGCCGCUGCUGGAGCCGAUGAAGACGCCUUGCUGAACCUGAUGGACGCCACGUGCAGGCGCGCAACGGCUCCCCCGGCGCCCGCGGAGGGCCUCUGCCUUGUAGACGUGGGCUAUGAAGAUUUCGACGAACAGAGGUGCUUCAUCAUUGACUAA
rnacentral:rRNA from 1 species